rnacentral:rRNA from 1 species
GCAAGUCGAGCGCUCUCUUCGGAGGGAGCGGCGGACGGGUUAGUAACGCGUGGGAACGUACCCAGAUCUAAGGGAUAGCCACUGGAAACGGUGAGUAAUACCUUAUACGCCCUUCGGGGGAAAGAUUUAUCGGAUUUGGAUCGGCCCGCGUUAGAUUAGAUAGUUGGUGGGGUAAUGGCCUACCAAGGCAACGAUCAGUAGCUGGUCUGAGAGGACGAUC